rnacentral:rRNA from 1 species
UUCUGGCUCAGAUUGAACGCUGGCGGCAGGCCUAACACAUGCAAGUCGAGCGGAUGACGGGAGCUUGCUCCUUGAUUCAGCGGCGGACGGGUGAGUAAUGCCUAGGAAUCUGCCUGGUAGUGGGGGACAACGUUUCGAAAGGAACGCUAAUACCGCAUACGUCCUACGGGAGAAAGCAGGGGACCUUCGGGCCUUGCGCUAUCAGAUGAGCCUAGGUCGGAUUAGCUAGUUGGUGGGGUAAUGGCUCACCAAGGCGACGAUCCGUAACUGGUCUGAGAGGAUGAUCAGUCACACUGGAACUGAGACACGGUCCAGACUCUUACGGGAGGCAGCAGUGGGGAAUAUUGGACAAUGGGCGAAAGCCUGAUCCAGCCAUGCCGCGUGUGUGAAGAAGGUCUUCGGAUUGUAGAGCACUUUAAG